rnacentral:rRNA from 1 species
ACGGGGGGUGCAAGCGUUGUUCGGAAUCAUUGGGCGUAAAGCGCGCGCAGGCGGCUUGGUAAGUCAGAUGUGAAAUCCCUGGGCUUAACCCAGGAAGUGCAUUUGAUACUGCCUCGCUAGAGUACGGGAGAGGAAAGUGGAAUUCCUGGUGUGGAGGUGUGCUGCGCAGAUAUCAGGGGGAGGGCGGGAGGGGGUGGGGAGUAUCUGGCACUAUAUUUAUGCUCGGGCGCGAGAGUGUGUUGUGCUGUCCG